rnacentral:rRNA from 1 species
AGAGUUUGAUCUUGGCUCAGAAUGAACGCUGGCGGCGUGCUUUACACAUGCAAGUCGAGCGAGGCGUCCCGCAAGGGAUAGUCGAGCGGCGAACGGGUGAGUAACGCGUGGAUGACCUGCCCUUUAGUUGGGAAUAACCCGGGGAAACUCGGGCUAAUACCGAAUAAGACCGAGAGGUGAAAGCGGGGUCGCAAGAUCUCGUGCUGAAGGAGGGGUCCGCGUCCGAUUAGCUAGUUGGUAGGGUAACGGCCUACCAAGGCGACGAUCGGUAGCCGGCCUGAGAGGGUGAUCGGCCACACUGGAACUGAGACACGGUCCAGACUCCUACGGGAGGCAGCAGUGGGGAAUUUUGCGCAAUGGGCUAACGCCUGGCGCAGCAACGCCGCGUGGAGGAUGAAGGUCUUUGGAUUGUAAACUCCUGUCAGCAGGGAAAAGCGAAUCGGGCUAAUACCUCGGUGAGUUGAUUGUACCUGCAGAGGAAGCCCCGGCUAACUCUGUGCCAGCCGCCGCCGUAAC